GUUUCCGUCAUCCCGACCUUAACCUCUACGAUUUCCAGCCCGAUUUGCCAUUUCUCUUUUCGAUCUCCUCCAUUGUGCCUUAGAACGGUGGUUUCGGUAGUUCUCUCUCUCCACAGUCCACGGCUAGAGAAGCCUAGCUCUGACUUAGUUUCUUUUUUUCCCUUUUAUUGUGUUAAUUUGUUCUAGUCAAUUUUUGGUUGGGAUUGUUCUAUGAUUUUCUAUCUCUGAGUCUAGGUUUAAUUUUUGGUUUUUGUUGAAUAGGGUGUUGGAGGCCCUGAUGGCUGAAGCCUCUCCUCAGGUGUCUACAAGAGGGACACAAAGAAAACCUUUAGUCGAUCUCCAUUGGAGUAAAUCUCCGUCACUAGCGGCUCUGGGCUAAUGUUGCGAAUCUAGUUGUGAAUAUAUAUGGUGUUGAAUCUGGGUUAGAGCAUGAGGAGAGCGAGAGUUUCAGGUGAUCUUGCUAGAAUCAAGGGAUAGAUUUGGCAAUCGUAUUCAUAUAGACUACUCAUUUGGUUGUUCAAUAGAAACGGGAGCAUCAUGGUCAAAGAGUUGGGGAUCAAGUUUUUGCUUUAACAGCACUAAGAAUCUGCAUAUUUUCAACAGAAGUA